rnacentral:rRNA from 1 species
UGGGAAUCUUGGACAAUGGGCGCAAGCCUGAUCCAGCCAUGCCGCGUGAGUGAAGAAGGCCUUCGGGUUGUAAAGCUCUUUUACCAGGGACGAUAAUGACGGUACCUGGAGAAUAAGCCCCGGCAAACUUCGUGCCAGCAGCCGCGGUAAUACGAAGGGGGCUAGCGUUGUUCGGAAUUACUGGGCGUAAAGCGCACGUAGGCGGAUUGUUAAGUCAGAGGUGAAAUCCCGGAGCUCAACUUCGGAACUGCCUUUGAUACUGGCAAUCUAGAGUCCGGAAGAGGUUAGUGGAAUUCCCAGUGUAGAGGUGAAAUUCGUAGAUAUUGGGAAGAACACCAGUGGCGAAGGCGGCUAACUGGUCCGGUACUGACGCUGAGGUGCGAAAGCGUGGGGAGCAAACAGGAUUAGAUACCCCGGUAGUCCCUGAGCGGGCUGGCAAGGCGCAU